rnacentral:lncRNA from 1 species
GAGACUGGGGACCAGCACUGAGUAUCGGGAGGUCAGCGCCCUGGUGGGAAAGGCUGAGAGUCGGCUCCACACUAAGGCUAGAUGGGAUGUGCUUGCCCCUGGGAUGGGAGGGACAUACUAGGAGCUGAGCCCCACGCCUGAGCCGAGGAAGAGAAGGGCCUGAGCCAGAGGCGGGGGUGGGUGACGGCGGGGCAGGGGUAUGAAAUAUAUUCUUGGAUGAGGGGAGGGUGCCCAAUCCUCAGAGCCCCAGGGUUGGGCCUCCAUGCAGGAUGGAGGGCUCUGAGCUCUGGGAUGGGACAAAGGGCUCAGAAUCCACAAAACCAUUCUGAUGGGGGUGCUGUGCUUCGAGUCCAGAAUGGAAUGGGAGGGCCCACGAGCCCCGGAGGGGACUGCGGGCUCCGAGCUGGCGAGGGAGGUCAAGGCAGUCUCGGGUGUAGGAGCUCCAAGCACAGGGUGUUGGGGGCAAGUCUCAGAGCUUUGGCCUUUAAGAACAGAGUCUCUGUGUGAGCCCUGAGGUGGGGAACGGACUUUUAGUGGUUCAGGAGGGAGGUUUCGGAAACUAGGGUAGGCGGGCGGGGUUUCUGUAUUCGGACCGGCUAUCUCUGGGUCUUUGACGGUAGGAGCUCUCGGAGGCGGGAACGAGAGGGUACGGCUUAGUGCCUCCGAGUCAGGGGAAGGUCUCAGAGCUCGGGGCUCGCGGGCGUCUCAUCUCCACGGUUUCGGGCCAGGCAGGGGCAGCUCAGAGCCCCGAGCCCGGGGAGGUGGCGCGGGAGCCCGCGGGCGCGGCAGGCGCGGGCGCGCGGCGCGGGUCGGCGUCCUGCUCGUAGCGGUAGUGGUAGCCCUCCAUCUGGUCCCGGCACGCCUCGCGCAGGUUGCGCAUCCAGCGCUGGAUGCCGCGGCGGUUUAGGUAGAGCACCAUGAGGAAGAUGAGGCCGAUGAGCGCCAGCACCAGCCCGAAAAACACGUAGGAGGCUUCCAGCUCCGGGCCGGCGGCCUCCGCCUCCUCUCCGCGAGCGUCAGCGCCGCUCUCCGCGCAGCGCAGCCGAGCCCCGUCCAGGUCCAGCAGCGGCCGGUCCAGCAGCGCCCGCGGGCGGCGCAGCGCAGGCGUCGCGCGUCGGGCACGCGCUCCGUGGCGUUGCGCAGCCAGGCCAGUAGGGGGCGCGCGGCGCAGCCGCAGCGCAGGGGUUGUCCGCGAGCAGCAGGCGCGGCCCGGGGAGGCCGCCAUCGCGCUCCAGCGCGCGCAGCUCGUCGGGGCCCAGGCCGGCCAACCCGUUGAGGCUCACGUCCAGCUGCUCCAGGCGCGCCAGGCGCAGCGCGGCUGGCGGCAGACGGCUCAGCGCGUUGCCCGCCAGGCCCAGCAGGCGAAGCUCGGCCAGCGGGGCCAGCGCAGCGUCCAGCGCGGCCAGCAGCGCGGGGCCGCCCCGUACCAGCGCGUGGUUGAGCUGCAGCGAGCGCAGCGCGGGCAGCCCGCGGAAGGCGCCACCGCCCAAGGCGCGCAGCGGGUUGUGGCUGAGGUCGAGCGCCGCCAGGCUGGGCAACCCGUCGAAGGCGCCGUCCUCCACCACCUCAAUGUGGUUGUGCGUGAGGCGCAGCGCGCUCAGGAGCGGCAGGCGCACGCCCGCCGCCUGGUCGCCGUCCUCGUCCGCAUCCCCGCCGGCGAAGGCGGCCGCGCGCAGCACCGUCAGGGGCACCCCCAACACUUAAUUAAGCCUCGAUCUUCAGGCAAGAAAGUCUGUGAUAUGAAUGAAGGGGUAAGUUUGUGGAAAUAGCAUUGGGGUAGAAGCCAGGAGCCAUGAAUUCAAGCCAGCUUUGCCAUAAGCUUGCUGUGUGACCUUGGGCAAGUCCCUUUCCCUCUCUGUUUUAAAGGUUUUCCACUAUAGCACAUUAGCACUGAACUCAGCAUCUGAUAUUGUCUAGUCCAAUAUACAUCUUGCAAAUGGAAAAACAGGCUCAGAAAGAAAGGGCACAUGACCUGUUCUAGAUCAUAUCUGGAUUAGUGGCAAAGCUAGGACUAAACUAAACUUCUUGACUUCCAUUUUAGGGAUUUCUCUACCCAACCACCACAUUUCAGCCUUCAUUCACAGCCUCUGUAUAUCUCAGAGACAGCUUCAUCUCCCAUUUUCAUUCCCUAGGAAGAAACGUGUGAAUCUUCCAAGUGUUCUGUUUGUUUUACUGAUUCAUGCCUGGGUGGGGGCUGGGCAGGCAGUAUUUAAGAGCAAGCAUUCCCAGCCUGACGGAGUUAAUUAUGUUCAUCAGGAAGGGAGAAGAGAAAGGAACAAGGCGCUCUGGUUAUCUACUGGGCUUUAAUCAAAUUGAGAAGAGAGGAAAUCCAUCACCCAGAGGCUGAGGGAGGUGGAGACCUUGGCUUCCGCUGGCUCCGCGUCCUGUAAUGGGUUGGGCGCUGUCCAAGGUGCUGACAUCUUCACUUACUGCUCUGAGUUGCUGGGAGGAGCUGGGAGAGGCCCCCUCCUGGCCAAGGGACAUCAGCUCUUAGAAGAGGGUCCAGAAGAGACUUAGAGAGGGUGUGGGCAUGUUGGGAGAGGCUCGAGUUCCUACUCUGCCUCCUGAACCUUUUCUUUUCCGUAUAUUUGUCUAUCUGCUUUAAGAAAAAUAUUUCUUCUUAUGGCCAGAGUCCUGGGUUGGGAUAGAGGGAGGGAAUACACAGACUCCUUGCUGUCAGGGAGAGGGGCCCGAGCCUGAGGGUGGAGGUACAGUCCUUGAGGACUUCCAUAUCUUUUUUUUUUUUUUUUUGACUUAGUAUUGCUCUGUCGCCAGGCUGGAGUGCAGUGGCACAAUCUCAGCUCACUGCAACCUCUGCAUCCCGUGUUUAAGCGAUUCCCCUGCCUCAGCCUCCCGAGUAGCUGGGACUACAGGCGCACACCACCACGCCUGUCUAAUUUUUUGUAUUGUAGUAGAGAUGGGGUUUCACCAUGUUGGCCACGAUGGUCUCAAUCUCCUGACUUCAGGUGAUCUGCCCUUCAGCCUCUCAAAGUGCUGGGAUUACA